rnacentral:sRNA from 1 species
GCGGAGGAAAAGAAACCAACAGGGAUUGCCCUAGUAACGGCGAGUGAAGCGGCAACAGCUCAAAUUUGAAAUCUGGCUCUAUUUUGGAGUCCGAGUUGUAAUUUGUAGAGGGCGCUUUGGCGUCGGCAGCGGUCUAAGUUCCUUGGAACAGGACGUCACAGAGGGUGAGAAUCCCGUACGUGGUCGCGUGCCUUCGCCGUGUAAAGCCCCUUCGACGAGUCGAGUUGUUUGGGAAUGCAGCUCUAAAUGGGAGGUAAAUUUCUUCUAAAGCUAAAUACUGGCCAGAGACCGAUAGCGCACAAGUAGAGUGAUCGAAAGAUGAAAAGCACUUUGGAAAGAGAGUCAAAAAGCACGUGAAAUUGUUGAAAGGGAAGCGCUUGCAGCCAGACUUGCCUGCGGUUGCUCAUCCGGGCUCUUGCCCGGUGCACUCUUCCGUAGGCAGGCCAGCAUCAGUUUGGGCGGCUGGAUAAAGGCCUCUGUCAUGUACCUUCCCUCGGGAAGGCCUUAUAGGGGAGGCGUAAUGCAGCCAGCCUGGACUGAGGUCCGCGCAUUUGCUAGGAUGCUGGCGUAAUGGCUGUAAGCGGCCCGUCUUGAAACACGGACCAAGGAGUCUAACAUCUAUGCGAGUGUUUGGGUGUCAAGCCCGGGCGCGCAAUGAAAGUGAACGGAGGUGGGAACCCUUUGCGGGGUGCACCAUCGACCGAUCCUGAUGUCUUCGGAUGGAUUUGAGUAAGAGCAUAGCUGUUGGGACCCGAAAGAUGGUGAACUAUGCUUGAAUAGGGUGAAGCCAGAGGAAACUCUGGUGGAGGCUCGCAGCGGUUCUGACGUGCAAAUCGAUCGUCAAAUUUGGGCA